GACGAACGCCGGCGGCGUGCUUAACACAUGCAAGUCGAACGGAAAGGCCCUGCUUUUGUGGGGUGCUCGAGUGGCGAACGGGUGAGUAACACGUGAGUAACCUGCCCUUGACUUUGGGAUAACUUCAGGAAACUGGGGCUAAUACCGGAUAGGAGCUCCUGCUGCAUGGUGGGGGUUGGAAAGUUUCGGCGGUUGGGGAUGGACUCGCGGCUUAUCAGCUUGUUGGUGGGGUAGUGGCUUACCAAGGCUUUGACGGGUAGCCGGCCUGAGAGGGUGACCGGCCACAUGGGGACUGAGAUACGGCCCAGACUCCUACGGGAGGCAGCAGUGGGGAAUAUUGCACAAUGGGCGGAAGCCUGAUGCAGCAACGCCGCGUGCGGGAUGACGGCCUUCGGGUUGUAAACCGCUUUCGCCUGUGACGAAGCGUGAGUGACGGUAAUGGGUAAAGAAGCACCGGCUAACUACGUG
rnacentral:rRNA from 1 species